GCUACGGGAGGCAGCAGUGAGGAAUAUUGGUCAAUGGGCGCAAGCCUGAACCAGCCAAGUCGCGUGAGGGAAGACUGCCCUAUGGGUUGUAAACCUCUUUUGUCAGGGAGCAACGCCGGCUACGUGUAGCCGGACUGAGAGUACCUGAAGAAAAAGCAUCGGCUAACUCCGUGCCAGCAGCCGCGGUAAUACGGAGGAUGCGAGCGUUAUCCGGAUUGAUUGGGGUUAAAGGGUGCGUAGGCGGAAUGCGAAGUCAGCGGUAAAAUCGCGGGGCUCAACCACGGUCCGCCGUUGAAACUGGCGUUCUUGAGUGAGCGAGAAGUAUGCGGAAUGCGUGGUGUAGCGGUGAAAUGCAUAGAUAUCACGCAGAACUCCGAUUGCGAAGGCAGCAUACCGGCGCCCAACUGACGCUGAGGCACGAAAGCGUGGGGAUCGAACAGGAUUAGAUACCCGGGUAGUC
rnacentral:rRNA from 1 species